CCUGGAGGGUUUUUCCCUUUUUAAAAAAGGAAAAAGCCUGGAGGCCUCUGGAGCUGAGAGAGAAGAGGAGAAGCUUUCAAGGUGGUCUCAACCAGAUUAAUACUGGAAAUCCCAGUGGGUCCCACUCAUCCCCAGCUCCAGAAAAGGGGAGCAAAACUUAAAACCCAAAAAGAACCCACAGGGGAAAACCUGCAGGUGACCCAAGGCACACUGCUGCUGCUGUGUGGCCUUGAAGAAGGGAAAAGCCUGGAGGGUUUUUCCCUUUUUAAAAAAGGAAAAAGCCUGGAGGCCUCUGGAGCUGAGAGAGAGGAGGGGAAGCUUUCAAGGUGGUCUCAACCAGGUUAAUGCUGGAAAUCUCCCAUUUUCAGGCCAGCAGGAGGAGGGAAUUCAGCAGGGACAGCCAGGGAGCAGCUGGGGCUGCAGGAUGGAUGGGGAUGGUCUCCCUCUAGGAGAGAACAUUCACCCAUCUCAGAAUGUCCCAGAACACCCAAAAACCUUCAGCAUUUUCAUGUUUUGGGGUUUUUUUUCAGAGUGGAUACUGUGAAAAGUCAGAAAGGGCCAGGAGUCCUUGAUUUGUGUCCUUCAGAGCAGCCCUGGGGUUGCUGCAGAGCUCUGGGACACCUGACAUCCUGGGCACCUUCAUAUCCUUAUUUUCAUAUCAAAAUAUUUCUCAUUUUUUAAAUUUUCAUUGGAUUUUACUGGCAGCCAGCAGGAAGGGGAAGGGGCCUGCAGUCCAUGGAGUGUUUGUGGGAGGAAGGAGCUGCCUGUGCUCUCCAGUUCCCUGCUCCCUGAUUCCCCAGCUGGGAAUGCCCACCCUGCAGGAGUUUGUCCCUUCAUUUGCUGCCCUUUGGAGCUGCAGCAGCCCUGCUCUGAGGUGGCUGGGCCAGGAUGAGCCCCAAUCCCUUCCUUGGGAGGCUCCUGGUGUUUGCAGGACGGGGCCGCGAGGUUCUGCGGGGAUAAACCGGGAGAAGUUUGGAAGCGCAGAUGGAAAUCUCAAAAGCUCAGACAUCCUCUGGCCACUUCCAAAGCUGCCUGGUGUUAGCCAGAGCUGAAAAGCCUUCCUAGGAGUUUGAUUUCGGGGUAUUUUGAUCUGUUACUUUCGCUUUUGGGCUUAGCUAAAUCCAGGAAACUUGCAGUGGUGUAAUUUUUGAAUCAAGACUAAACACACCCCAAAGUAUUCCUGAACCCAUCAGGAAAGCUGCUGCUUGCUUUAUCUUCCAGGAAUAAUUCAGGCCAGCUCAGGCUUGAACUCAGUCUGGUUUUGCCCCUAGAUAAUGAUUGUUUUUGAGGAAAUAAUGAGAGCAGGCCGUGAUCUUUCCAAAAGGCUGUGACCUGACACACCAAGCUGUGCCAGGAGGUGGAUGGAGAUAAAUUCAGUGAGAGGGGCCAAUGUCUGGAGGCUGGAAGAGCAGCCUGGAGUAUCCAUGGCCUCCAAAAUCUCACACAGACACAUUUUCCCCAGGAAUUAUGGGAUGGAGGUGUUGGAUUCUGCCAUAUCUUGGGAUUUUUCCCUCUAGCAGAGAACAUUCAGCCAUCUCGGGGUGUCCCACAACACCCAAAAACCUUCAGCAUUUUUAUGGUUUGGGGUUUUUUUUCAGGGUGGAUACUGUGAAAAGUCAGGAAGGGCCAGCUGUCCUUGAUUUGCACAGCCAGGGUGAAGAAAUGUGGAUUAAGUGCCUGGUAAAAGCCAAAAAAGGUGUUUUUAAAGAUGAAUCCCAGUCUCUGUCACAGCUGUUGAGCCAGGGUCGAAUUUUCCCAAAUCCAGGUACAGCUGCAGAGCUCUCCAUCCGUUUUUAACCCAAAUUUAUUCCCAGAUCCUGCAUAAACACCUACAGCAUGGACUGUGCCUUCUGGGGGGCUUCUUGCAGGCUUGGGGCUCAAAAUCCAACAUCCCCCAAGCCAGGAUUUGGCUCUGAAUUUUCCCUUUAAAAUCCCUGUGUAAAGUGAAUUUCCAGGGCUCGGCCGCUGUUUUUAUUUUGGUGAAUCCAGUGGUUUGUGCUUGGUGAGAGCUGUCCCUGUGCCAGGGGCUGCUGGAAAUAGUCACAACAUCCAAAAGAGCUGGAAUUCUGCAUUUUUGAAUAGCAAUACAACAAGGGGAAGCUGCUAAAUGGAGCUUCUUGUAAGCUGGAAAUGUGUUGGAGUAAAAUUUGUCAUUUCUUGUAGGAAAAAAAACCCUAAACAACUCUCUAAAAUUGUCCAGAAUCUUCAGUUUAAGGAAUUACAGUUUUAUUGGCAAAGAUCCCUGUUUAGCAUCAAUACAUGGGAUUUCUAGACUUUCUUUCUUAAGGUGUGAAGUCUGCUUUUUCUGGAGAUGGUGGGAAACCUGUAACAACAAUAUUCCUACAUCAUUUUGGCUGGGGAAAAAAACCCCAAACACCAAAAAAUGAGCAAAAAAAAAAAAUGGAAAAGCACCCAGAUCCCAGUGGUCUGGUGUUGAAGAGGGCACAUGAACAUGUUAGGAAGGAGAAGACUUUCCAACCUGCUUUAAUACAAGUCCUUUUUUACUUUAUUUUUAGGAUUUUUUUUUUACAGUAACAUCAUUUGGUUGCUUAACUGUGAAAGUCUCUGCUUUUCCAUCCCUGUGGAAGGCUGAUAUUCCUUCUCAUGUUCUUCUUAUUUAUUAUUGAUCCCUUUCUGGUACAAUCCAAGAGGUGCUGAAGGUAUCUCCCAGCCUGCCCUGGAGCCAUGUGCAGUCCCUGUGGUUUCUCCUACCAGCUGGGAUGGCAGUAGACACCUAAUUAUGAUUUUAAAUUAUAUUUAUAGCAACUUAGAUUAUUUUUCUUUUAGUGUCCUGGUUUGCUCUAGAAUUAGGGAUGGGGAUAAGGAAUUUUGUUUUUAAAAAAAUCGUCAUUUUUUGGAGUUUUCUUUUAACAUCUUGGGGGCUUCUGAAGAAACCUGCUCACUUUUAUGUUUUUAGGAGGGAAGAACGAGGUGGGUUUCUUGUUCCUUUGAGAAGGGAUUGAGUAGCACCAGGGUUCAGUUUAGCUGGUAAAAUGCUCUGUGUCACAUCAUUAAAACCACCCUGAAUUCUGACAAAACAACCACUUUCCACCUGGGAAUUUAAAUCUGGCUGGUGGCAAACUUUGUUUGUCCAAGGCUCGUGCCAGGCUUUUCUCUGUCAGAUUUCCAUGGAGUUUGCUGAGCCCUGGGUGCUCAGGCUGGGCCAGGGCAGGGCUGGGGACAGCCAGGUGUCACCUCUGGGGUGGAGGACACCUGGUCCUGCAGAAAUAAUCCAAUAAUUCGUCUGCAGAAAUAAUCCAGCAUUUCAUCUGCAGAAAUAAUCCAGCAUUUCAUCUGCAGCUUCCUGUUCUCCAGGGGAUGUUGAGGGCAAUCCCUGAAGUGUGGGAGAGAACCAGGACUGGGGGCUCCAAACCCAUCAGGUUUUGUUCUUUUUAUUCCCUUUCUCCCCUUGGAAAGGUGCUUCCAAAGCCUCCCCAGCCUUUCUGCUCAAGAAUAACAGAAUCAGAGAACCACAGAGUCAUUUAGGGUGGGAAAACCUUGAAAAUCAUCGAGUCCAGCCAAAAACUCAGCGCUGCCAAGGCCACCACUAGCCCAUGUCCCCAAGUGCCACAUGGCCACAUUUGAAGCCCUUCCCUGGUGCAGCUGUUUUCAGACAGCUCACACUGCUUCUCUGGUUUGUUUUCUUUCCCCAAACGUAUAAGAAACGUUGGGUAGCAGAAUGUGGAAUUGAUUAGAAGUUCAUAAAGCAGGGACCUCAGAAGGAUGUGGGUAUAAAUGCUUUUCAGGCAUCCGAGGUGAACUUUAAAUGGAGCUUUGGCCCUCAUUUGCUUUCUGCUUUUCAAAAACCAUUUAUGAGAAAGUGGAGCUGUCAAAGCCAUGCAUGAACUUUGCCUUCUUGCAAAUAACUUGUCUCAAAAGUAAAUUGUCCAAAUGCACAAGAAACUUGUCUCAAAGUGAAUCCAGUAGCUCUACAAAGCUGGAAUUGUGUGCAUUAGAAGGGUGUGAGAGGUGUGUGUGUGUGGGUGUGUGUGAGCAUGUGUUGUGCAGGGAGUAACUCAACCAUUUUAAGAUUUACAAAAACACAAUGCAAGUGCUUUUAGAAAAAAAAAAUAAAAAAAGAAAGGCAGUGUAAAAUAUUUAUUUCUUGGCAGAAGUACAUCAGACCACAUCUCCCAUCCUUCUUUUAAUUGCGUGGUGUUUGUUUGUGUUGUCUCAGGCUUUGCUGGUUUCCUCUGCAGGGCUCUGUCACCUCACACAACCCCUCUGUCAGCCGGGGCGCGGGGCAGCUCCAGCCCCUCAGGACAGGCCUGGGCUGCAGGCAGGGAGCAGGGGCAGAGCUGGUGCUGGGUUAAAGGCAGCACAGAGCAGCGGGGCUGAUUUUCAGUUUCCAGCCUUGUGGAGGGAGCUCUUUCCUUGUGAGAAUCCAAAUAACCACAGCACCCAAAUCACAGCCAUGGGGAGGGUGCUUGGCCAGCCAGGGCAGCUUGGAGGGGGCGAGGUGGCACUGGCAUGGCCGUGAGGUGGCACUGGCAUGGCCGUGAGGUGGCACUGGCAGGGCUCUGAGGUGGCACUGGCAUGGCUCUGAGGUGGCACUGGCAGGGCUCUGAGGUGGCACUGGCAGGGCUGUGAGGUGGCACUGGCAUGGCUGUGAGGUGGCACUGGCAGGGCUCUGAGGUGGCACUGGCAGGGCUCUGAGGUGGCACUGGCAGGGCCGUGAGGUGGCACUGGCAUGGCUCUGAGGUGGCACUGGCAGGGCCGUGAGGUGGCACUGGCAUGGCUCUGAGGUGGCACUGGCAUGGCUCUGAGGUGGCACUGGCAGGGCUGUGAGGUGGCACUGGCAUGGCUCUGAGGUGGCACUGGCAGGGCUCUGAGGUGGCACUGGCUGGGCUCUGAGGUGGCACUGGCAGGGCUGUGAGGUGGCACUGGCAUGGCUCUGAGGUGGCACUGGCAGGGCUCUGAGGUGGCACUGGCAUGGCUGUGAGGUGGCACUGGCAUGGCCGUGAGGUGGCACCGGCUGGUUGGCGGUGCCCUGUGGGCUUUGCCCAGGGUUUGGAGCUGCCCUGUGCAGGGUGGGUGCUCCGAGCUCCCGUUCCCAGCCCGGUGCAGGCACUGCCAGGCCCCACCAGUCAGGCACUGCCACACUCACUGCUGUCCCCGUGCUCCAGAGCCCUUCUGAGGUCACCUGGCUGCCCACCUGCACGUCCCUGUGCUGCCUUCACCCAUCUCUGCUGUUCCUGGUGCUCUGGUGACGAGCAGGGGUAGCAGAGUGACAGUAAGACUGUGUGUGUAACAUUUGAGAGGCUUUUACUCCAUGUUGUUGUUGUUUUAAUGAGAUGCUUUUAGGGUCCGUGCUGAACUGGUUUCUUUAACCUUCACUGCCACAGAUUCUUUCUUCCUUUUCUUCACUUCAAUCAGAUUGGCAAAAUACAUUUGGCUUGGGGGAAAAAAACCCCAACCAACCCCAAACCCUGCUGAUGGGAUAAGUUACUCCUCUUUACUGUGCUUUGAUUUGAUUUCUCAGGAUACUCAGAGGUUUUUCACUGCUGCUGAGAGGGGACAGUACACCUUUUUGGAGACUUCAACCACUGUAACAGUUUUCCAGAUGUGUGUGUGCGUGUGCGUGUGUGUAAGCCAGCGCUGUGCGUGCGUGUGUUCUGCUGAAUAUCGUGUGCAUCUCUGAAAUGCUUCAAACAACUGCCUGGAAGUCAAAAACCAACCACCUCUUUCCAGUCAUAUGUUUGCCGUGACUUUUCAUAACCACACUUGAAACUAGUGGUCUUGGAUGGAAAUAUUCAAAGAGCAGGGCAUCUUUAUAGCAAUGGUAUGUCAGUCGAAUUACGGGAAAUGUACACAAAAAUAAAUAAAUGAAAUUUAAAAGUAA